GAAAAAAGGAGUAAAGUUUACAUAUAAAAAAUCUGUCUAAAUUUUUUAUAUCUAAACUUGGGGGGAUUUGAUCCCGUAUAGAUAUCUCGGGAUUAAAAGAAAUAUGCAAAAGAUAGAACACCGGGUCGACAACAUCACCGGGUCGGCAAGAUUGAACCUGGCAAGAUCGGGUCGACUAGAUCAAGGACCGGGUCGGCGUGAUCGGGUCGACGAGAUCAAAUUCCGGGUCGAGAAGACCGGGCGGCGAAGUAGAAUAGCGGGUCGGACCCUAUUAGGGUCGGCUAGAAAAAGAAAAGAAUAAGAUCCAUACACGUUUCUAUGUCCCUUGAUAUCUAUAAGCCGGCGGGUCGGGAUCACAAGGACAUGUCCGUCAGAAAAAGGAAAGGAAUACAGAUCGAUCACGAAGGUACUUACAAAAUCGGGUUAGAAACCGGGUGAGAUGGGAGGAUCGGAUUUUAAUAGGGUCGGAUUUUCCCUUCCCCCUUGAUGCUACCGCCGCCCUAUAUAAAUAUGUGGAGAUAUAUAUAUAAAUGGAUGGGAGCCGGGUGAGAAACCGGGUGAGACACCGGGUCGGACCCUAUUAGGGUCGGCCCCUUUUUUCUUUCCCUCCCCGCUGCCGAAUCUUGCUAGCGAGCCAAAGUAAACAGGCUUCCUUUACAUAUAUAUGGAUAUCUUAUUUUUUAAUAUAAGAUAGGUCAUCCUGUUUGAUGAUCAUGGGCGGCCCAAUGUACACUGAAUCACAUGAGUUGAGGGUGGAUUUAGCCUUUAUGUAUAAACACUGUAUAUUAUAACUAGAAAAGAGAGUUCACUAUACAAGAAUAUUAGAAAGAGGCUUAAGACUUUCUCAGUAUUCAUAGAUAAAUACUUUUAAGGAUUCAUUUCAACACAUCGAAUUCAAUUCACAUUCAAUGCUUACAGACAAUCAAGAUUCAAUCAUAUCGACAUCCAUCUCAUAUUUAUUACUCAAUCAUUCCACCUUAAACUCGCUAAGAGUUUGUUAGGUUCGCACUGAUUUAUCAGGAGAGUAAUGAUUGUGUAACCCUAAUUCGUCACUAAGCCAAUUACUUAGGUUCAAACAGCACAUAUCUUGACUUUGUUACCGGAUAUGAUGGAGAAGACCAUGCUAAUUGGGGAAAUACUACAUGGUUCAGUUGCGAUAACAAGUUUACCUGGAACUCAUGGAUGAUAUUAAGUCAACGUGCAAUAUCUGACUUUAUGGUGUAUCCCAAUUGUUGCUCUAUUUCCCAACUCGACUUAGCUUCUGACCCAUUAUGUUCUGGGUUGUACUCCUCCAACUUGGACAAGAGUUCAUGAGCGGUUUGGGCAGAGACAAUAAUCCGACGGGCUUCAGGGGUGAUGAAACCUUCAUCAACAGCCUUCUCUAUGAAAGACAGUAACGAGUUGUAGUAUCCAUCUACGUUCAAUAAUCCUACCUGUAUAGUACAUACCCAAAAUGAUAAACAAUUUUGUACGUAUGUGAUGUAAAAUGUAUGUAUGGUAUACCAGUGUAUUGCACGUGUGAUGUGUAUACAUAUGUCUGCGUAUUCUACUUGUGCCCGCGUUAUGAAAAUAUCAAUUACCGGUUUUUGGUGGAUUCCAA